rnacentral:rRNA from 1 species
AUUGAACGCUGGCGGCAGGCCUAACACAUGCAAGUCGAGCGGAUGAAGGGAGCUUGCUCCUGGAUUCAGCGGCGGACGGGUGAGUAAUGCCUAGGAAUCUGCCUGGUAGUGGGGGAUAACGUCCGGAAACGGGCGCUAAUACCGCAUACGUCCUGAGGGAGAAAGUGGGGGAUCUUCGGACCUCACGCUAUCAGAUGAGCCUAGGUCGGAUUAGCUAGUUGGUGGGGUAAAGGCCUACCAAGGCGACGAUCCGUAACUGGUCUGAGAGGAUGAUCAGUCACACUGGAACUGAGACACGGUCAAGACGCCUACGGGAGGCAGCAGUGGGGAAUAUUGGACAGUGGGCGAAAGCCUGAUCCAGCCAUGCCGCGUGUGUGAAGAAGGUCUUCGGAUUGUAAAGAACUUUAAGUUGGGAGGAAGGGCAGUAAGUUGAUACCUUGCUGUUUUGACGUUACCAACAGAAUAAGCACCGGCUAACUUCGUG